GUCCACGCCGUAAACGAUGGGCACUAGAUGCUUGGGGGAGCGACCCCCUGAGUGUCGACGCUAACGCAUUAAGUGCCCCGCCUGGGGAGUACGGCCGCAAGGCUGAAACUCAAAGGAAUUGACGGGGGCCCGCACAAGCGGUGGAGCAUGUGGUUUAAUUCGACGCAACGCGAAGAACCUUACCUAGCCUUGACAUAGCCGAGAAAGCCUCCAGAAACGGAGGCCCCUCUUCGGAGUUCGGUUACAGGUGCUGCAUGGCUGUCGU
rnacentral:rRNA from 1 species